AACGAACGCCGGCGGCGCGUCUUAAGCAUGCAAGUCGGACGGCAAGGGUAGCAAUACCCCUAGAGUGGCGGACUGGUGAGUAACGCGUGGGUGACCUACCCUCGAGAUGGGGAUAGCCAUUAGAAAUAGUGGAUAAUACCGAAUACGCUCUGGAUGCUCUGGCGACCAGAGGAAAUCAGGCUACGGCCUGGCUCGAGGAUGGGCCCGCGUCCCAUUAGCUAGUUGGUGAGGUAACGGCCCACCAAGGCGACGAUGGGUAUCCGGCCUGAGAGGGUGUACGGACACAUUGGGACUGAGAUACGGCCCAAACUCCUACGGGAGGCAGCAGCUAAGAAUAUUCCGCAAUGGACGAAAGUCUGACGGAGCGACGCCGCGUGGAUGAAGAAGGCCGAAAGGUUGUAAAAUCCUUUUGCUGAUGAAGAAUAAGUGGUGGAGGGAAUGCCAUCAUGAUGACAUUAGUCGGUGAAUAAGCCCCGGCUAACUACGUGCCAGCCGCCGCCGUAA
rnacentral:rRNA from 1 species